GACGAACGCUGGCGGCGUGCUUAACACAUGCAAGUCGAACGGUAAGGCCCUUCGGGGUACACGAGUGGCGAACGGGUGAGUAACACGUGGGUGAUCUGCCCUGCACUUCGGGAUAAGCCUGGGAAACUGGGUCUAAUACCGGAUAGGACCACUGCCUGCAUGGGUGGUGGGGGACAGCUUUUGCGGUGGGGGAUGGGCCCGCGGCCUAUCAGCUUGUUGGUGGGGGGAUGGCCUACCAAGGCGACGACGGGUAGCCGGCCUGAGAGGGUGACCGGCCACACUGGGACUGAGAUACGGCCCAGACUCCUACGGGAGGCAGCAGUGGGGAAUAUUGCACAAUGGGCGCAAGCCUGAUGCAGCGACGCCGCGUGAGGGAUGACGGCCUUCGGGUUGUAAACCUCUUUCAGCACCGACGAAGCGCAAGUGACGGUAGGUGCAGAAGAAGGACCGGCCAACUACGUGCCAGCCGCCGCGGUAA
rnacentral:rRNA from 1 species